CUAAAAGCUACAGGACAGGAGCUCUGAGGACUGGAGUUGGACACCCCUGCUCUGUUACGUCUUCACACUCAUCUCACACCAACUCUCCGGUUCUCACAGUCUAAAAAUCAACCCUCCACGGGGUUUCAAUAUCCGGGUCACCUGCCCGGUCAGUCACCUGAUCCUCUGAAUCUUUGAGGACCUGACUGCAAGCCACCGCAAAGCACCGGACCUCUCUCAUUAAGACACGGGGGCUUUCCACUGGGGCGUCUUUGUUCUCAGCAGGCAUGGCACCAUGGGACUGCCUAGGACGGGUCUGUCUCCAUCUGGGCCUGGGGUCUUUAUCAGAACCACCUGCCCGAGAGGGUCAACCAUAUCUCAAACAUCUUUUUUUUCUCUCCAGAGGAAGAAGGAAAAUCAUUUCAACUGUUUUCCUGUUGACCCACAUGCCAUGGCUGAGGCUCUUUUCUGAGUGUGUGUGAAUAUUUACUUGUGUUUUAGUUACUCUCUGUGUAUAAAA